rnacentral:tRNA from 1 species
GCGAGGAAGGGCUGCCGUUGUGCGGCGCGGCGUGCUGGGGGCAUGUCGAUGCGGUUCGCGAAUUACUGGCGGCCGGUGCCGACCCGGACCUGCGCG